GUUGCCCACUCAGCACCUGCACGGCUCCCAAGUGGGUCACUACCAUCUAAACUUUAUCAGGAGGGAGGCAAGGUGGGAGAGGAGGAGAAACCCAUUAAGAAGAUACAUGUUGUGUCUGAACAUCUGCAAAGCAACAGCCUGUGGCUUCAGACACAGGGUGACUGACUUGGCUUGCUGGGGCUGAGGAGGGAAAGAGCUGCUGGGAUGCUUUUGAACAGCCUUUGUGGCAGGAGUUCUGUUUGUGUAAGCCUGAAAGCCAGUGCUGAAGGAAGAUGUUUUGUGCAUUCCAGUUUGCAUUUAACUCGUGUGUGGCAACACAAAUCACACAGCUAUUGCUAAACUACGUCGACAGCCUGAAAGUACUACACUCCUGAAGAGGAUUCCAUUUGGGAACCUGGGGUCUGGCACACAUAGCCUGGCCCAGAGAUACCAAAUGAUUGCUUGGAUCAAGCAGCAAGUUUGAGACCUCAAACCUGAUCCAAUGGAUUGCUUCCACGGAGUCCAGCAGCCAUCCCUUCAAACCAAAUGUGCUUUGUAUCCUGUGACAAAAAGAGGAAAGAGCCAGAGAAUUUUUCAUCUCGGUGUUCUCCCUGGAGGAAAGCCACAAGCUGCAGCCAUGGGAUUUAUGAACCCCUUUUCUUUGGUCCUCAAGGAGCAAAGUGUCUUCAAAUGCCUAUAUCUCUGGAUGUAGGCCUUUACCUCUGGGAUAAAGAUGUAUACCUGCUUGUGUUUCAGAGACACUGAAAAUCUGCAGUAAUCCUAAAGAAAAGCAACUUCUGCCUGCAGAACAUGCAGCUUCCCUUCAGAAUCUAACCUUCGUCUUGAAACGUGAAAUGGUGCAUCCCGAGCUCUUCCCUUAUGAUUUAAUGCAUCUGUCAGAGUAGCAGCAGCUAACAUGAGAUGUUCCAGACUCAAAAGCUACCAACACCCAAGGAUCCAGCUCAUCCGCCAGGAGCAAGCACAGCACCAGCCAGGUCCCCAGGUGCCUGGAGUGUGUGCACAGAUGUGGAAGGGAAAGUCACCAACGAGCAGGCCAGGCUCAGCCAUCCCUGCUGCUUGUCAGGAGCCAGUUCAACGCCUGAUUGAACAAUGCACGAGCCUUGUGCUAGUCCCAGUCACGAAGGGAAUUUCAACCUGUAGAGAUUAACUUUUUGCAGAAAGGUCACAUAUGGGAGCACUUCACAACAGAUUCAUCAACAAAUUCAGUUAACUAAGAGCUGUAACGUCUGGACUAGCAAAACUGCAAGAGAAAGCGCUUGGUGAAGCUAACAGUGAGGUGUUCUGUCUGCUGGUGAUGCAGGCUUCUGGGCCCAGCCACGGCUGAGAAAAGAGCAAAAAAAGCCCUUUUGCACUUAACAUCAACUGUAGGCUCAGACAGAUAUUACUGAAAAGCAACUGCGAGGUGCUUCUUGCUGGUAGAAGAUACUGGAAAUGAAGUGACUGCAAUGGAAGGGGACUUCUCCGCAGCGUGUCACGGACCUCAUCUGGAAUAGCUCAUUGUUUGUCUUUUCCAAGCAGAAACAAUCUUCCACUGUUACAGAUCCCCCUUUCCCUAGUAGAGGAUCGAGCUGGGAGAAAGUAAAGAGUAGCCUUUACUAAAAUCUUUUAUUAAUUAAGCUGGUAUUAUUAAUAGAAUCCUGGGUGCAUUCUUUACUGCAGGAGAUCAACCUCCCCUUACUCCCCAGAGAAGUCAGGCACACAGACACGUUCCUGAGGUGAGUUAUGGCUAUGUGGAUGGAACACGGAAGGAGGCCAGCCACGGUGAUGGCAGCAGCCUUUAUGCAGAUGUGGAAGAGCCUCCAGGA